GUUUACCUGGGUAAAGAAUGUUUUCUCUGCAAUAAAAGUCAUUUGCUCAUAGGUGAAGGGACCUGCCUUGUCUAGAUGGGACUUUAAACUUGGACUUCUGGGUUAAUGCUGAAAUGAGCUGAGAUUUUGGGGGACUGAUGGGAAGGCAUGACUGGUUUUGAAAUGUGAGGACAUGAGAUUUCAGAAGGGCCAGGGGCAGAAUGAUACAGUUUGGCUGUGGCCCCGCCCAAAUCUCCGUCUUGAAUUCCCACAUGUUUUGAGAAGGACCAGGUGGGAGGUGAUUGAAUCAUGGGGGCAGGUCUUUCCUGUGCUGUUCUCAUGAUAGUGAAUGAGUUGCACGAGAUGUGAUGGUUUUAAAAUGGGCGUUCCCCUGCACUGCUCUCUUUGCCUGCUCCCAUCCACAUAAGAUGUGACCUGCUCCUCCUUGCUUUCUGCCAUGAUUGUGAGGCUUCCCCAGC
rnacentral:lncRNA from 1 species